AUUGAACGCUGGCGGCAGGCCUAACACAUGCAAGUCGAGCGAGCGGCGGACGGGUGAGUCAUGUAUGGGGACUGCCCGAUAGAGGGGGCUAACUAAUGGGAACGGUAGCUAAUACUGCAUACUAUCGGAUAACCUAUGGUGGAUUAGCUAGUGGGUGAGGUAAUGGCUCACCUAGGCGACGAUCCCUAGCUGGUCUGAGAGGAUGAUCAGCCACACUGGGACGGAGACACGGCCCAGACUCCUACGGAGGCAGCAGUGGGGAAUAUUGCACAAUGGGCGCAAGCCUGAUGCAGCCAUGCCGCGUGUAUGAAGAAGGCCUUAGGUUUGUAAAGUACUUUCAGUCGGGAGGCGUUACCGACAGAAGAAGCACCGGCUAACUCCGUGCCAGCAGCCGCGGUAAUUC
rnacentral:rRNA from 1 species